CUCCAACCCGCUCGAACGCUCCCCACAGCUACCGCCACCCAUUGGAAUGGCCAACAGGGGACCUGCAUAUGGCCUAAGCCGGGAGGUGCAGCAGAAGAUUGAAAAGCAAUACGACGCAGACCUGGAGCAGAUCCUGAUCCAGUGGAUCACCACCCAGUGCCCAGAGGAUGUGGGCCGGCCCCAGCCUGGGCGGGAGAACUUCCAGAACUGGCUCAAGGAUGGCACGGUGCUAUGUGAGCUCAUUAAUGCACUGUGCCCCGAGGGGCAGGGCCCCGUAAAGAAGACCCAGGCUUCCACCGUGGCCUUCAAGCAGGUGGAGCAGAUCUCUCCGCUCCUGCAGGCAGCUGAGCGCUAUGGCAUUCACACCACUGACAUCUUCCCAACCGUGGACCUCCGGGAAGGAGAGAACAUGGCUUGUGUGCAGCAGGACGCUGAUGAAUCUGGGCGAGCUGGCAGUAGCCCGGGAUGAUGGGCUCUUCUCUGGGGAGCCCAACUGGUUCCCUAAGAAAUCCAAGGAGAAUCCUCGGAACUUCUCGGACAACCAGCUGCAAGAGGGCAGGAACAUGAUUGGAUUGCAGAUGGGCACCAAGCGCGUGACCGGCUAUGGGAUGCCACGCCGAAUCCUCUGA